AAUAAGUAUAGUUUCGCACUGUUCAUAUCUAACGUUUGACCAUUCAUCUUAUUUAAGAAUUUUUUAGAUUAGUAUUUUUAUCACUAUUAGAUGAUAAAACAUGAAUAGUAAUUUAUGUGUGAUUAUUUUUUUCAAAAAAUUUUAUAAUUUUUUUAAAUAAAACGGACGGUUAAACGUCGGAUACGAGUACCACGGUUGUACUUAUU
rfam:Oryza glumipatula chromosome 5, whole genome shotgun sequence.